rnacentral:rRNA from 1 species
CUACGGGACGCUGCAGUCAAGAAUCUUCCGCAAUGGGCGAAAGCCUGACGGAGCGACGCCGCGUGUGGGAAGACGCCUUUCGGGGUGUAAACCACUUUUCUGUGGGAAAAACUAGCGAUGGUACCUCAGGAAUAAGGGGCUGCUAACUACGUGCCAGCAGCAGCGGUAAUACGUAGGCCCCAAGCAUUAUCCGGAUUUAUUGGGCGUAAAGCGCUAAAAGGUGGUUUUGUAAGUCAGAUGUUAAAGACCGGAGCUCAACUCCGGGCCUGCAUCUGAAACUACUUAACUUGAGUAUGGGAGAGGCAAGUGGAAUUACCGGUGUAGCAGUAAAAUGCGUUAAUAUCGGUAGGAACACCAAUGGCGAAGGCAGCUUGCUGGAACAUUACUGACACUAAAUAGCGAAAGCGUAGGUAGCGAAUGGGAUUAGAUACCCGCGUAGUC